CCUAGUAUAUUUCUGACAGAGUAUGAAGUGACAGACGCUCUCUGUGAUCUCUUGGCCUUGCAGCGGCCUCGAGCUGAUGUCAUCAGUGCUGGUCAUUCAGUCCAGUCUGACCUGAGUCAGCCUCAGCUGUAUUACACUGACUAUACGAGUCUUUGUGACGAUGCCACAUGAACACGUUUCUGUAAAUGUGGUGGGACUUAAACUCAGGUAAAUCCAGGAAAUACAGCCAGUACAGUGAACGUUAUUCAGAGUGUGAAGUGAACCUGUGUUACUGUUACAGAUCCGGCUGUGUGACCGCCAACGGGACGUAACAGGAAGAUCUUCAGAAGGCGGUGUGGACGAACAUGUGUCUGUCAGAAGAUGGAGAGUUUGGAUCGAGAUGCACCAAGAGAGUCUCCUGUGUCCCCAGGCAUCUUCGAUGAGCACUCUCGCUGUGCUUUUGAUGCAGUGCAGCCAGGCCCAAGCACUUUGUGUGAGGCAAUAGGCAUCCAUCAAGUGGCCGGGGUGAGUGUGCGGCCCAGCAGAGGACCCAGAUGAUGUGCAGGCACUGCGGAGACAAAAAAUGAAGCUGCAAAUUAAAGUGUUGUGACUCCAAGAGGAGUACUACAACUUGGCUUUAAAAAAAUAAAAAUACUGAGUGACUAAUAAAACAGAUUAAUUAAAAGGCACUGUAUAUGUGUAUCUGUGAUUUAU